rnacentral:lncRNA from 1 species
AUAAAUGAUAAAAGUUAACGCAUAAAGUAUAUGGUCAUUUAUUGUGUAGAUAAUUAUGCUGAAAAUUCAUAGAAAUAUCAUCAAGAGUGCUAAUAAGAGCAGUUUAAUUAUUUGCAGCCCCUCUUAGUUUCUGUCACUUCAGCUUGGUUUUGUCAAUCAACAUCAUAUAACAUAGGCACAUAGUAUUCAAGAGAUCUAGAUAAUGGCACUGCAUCUAAUCUUUCACUGUGAAUUGCUCUUUGUUAUCUGUAAUACAUUCACAUUUAAUAAAACAAGAACGGCGUCAUUGUGCCUAAAAUCGGAGUCGUUCGAGGUUUAGGAAGUUGAAGAAUUUCAAAACUUGGUUGGUUUGCUUCACUACAAAAAAUUAUGGCUUGUUAGGAUACUUGGAACUUGGAAACGGUGGGGGG